GAACUGUGCAGACUGUUUUGCUUGAGAUAAGCUGAUAAGGCUCUGAGAUGAGGAGAAAGUUCUUACAAAGUCUCGUCUUCGCUCGGUUUCUCUGCAGACACGCAGCCCUUCCCAAAGGGGGAGAAUUGCUCCGCAGCCCAGACGAAAUCGAGUGCUGCUCAAAGAUUUAUCCUCGUCUUUUGAGUCGACUCUCGCUUUUCUCCUUCACUCUCUAGCUUGACAUCUCCGGGCCGGCGCUCCAUCCCUCUCUGAGCCACAAUUGAAAUGACAAG
ensembl:processed_transcript